GAAUUUUAAAAGUUUAUUACAAUUUAGAAGUUUUUCGUUUGAAUUUUAAUAAGUUGAGAGGGCCUUUUAUUUUAUUAAACAGGGGUAUACCCUAUUUGUGUAACGAUCCAGCCCAGUAAUAACUCGUUGGGCCAACCACCGGCCCAAAAUGCUUAAAUCCAGUUAUUAUUAUUAGUGUCUAAGUCUAUUAUAAAUUCAAUGACAACCCCAUUCAUGGCCUAACGUCCACACAGCCCAAGAUUACCAGGCGAUAUGAGACUCGUCUCGCUAGCCCGUCAUCCAGACCCUGGCUCAGCCGAGACUCGCCACACAUGUCCAGCUGGUGAACCAGCUCUGAUAUCAAAUGUAACAACCCAGCCCACUAGCAAUAAUAAAUCGUUGGGCCCAACCACCGGCCCAAAAUGCUUAAGCCCAGUUAUUAUUACUAGUGUCUAAAUCUCUUAUAAACCCAAUGACAAUUCCAUUCCUAUCUGAUGUGGGAUUAUUGGGGUGUCACAAUUUGAGAAGAAUAAGUUGAGUGGGCCUAGAAAUGGAGAAUGAGGUCUCUUGAUU
rnacentral:lncRNA from 1 species